GCCGGGUGUGGUGGCGGGCACCUGUAAUCCCAGCUACUUGGGAGGCUGAGGCAGGAGAAUCACUUGAACCCGGGAGGCAGAGGUUGCAGUGAGCCAAGAUCUUGCCACUGCACUUCAGCCUGGGUGACAAGAGUGAAACUCUGUCUCAA
rnacentral:SRP_RNA from 1 species